rnacentral:lncRNA from 1 species
GGGAGACAUAAAGACAAUGUGAACUACCUGUGCUAGGAAUAAUUUCUGAUCAGGAACUUGGGCUUUCAUCUACCCUUUUCAAAGAGUAUUAUAUGAAAAAGGAAAAAGAAAAUCUAUUUCUUGAAUCUGGUAAGUAGCCCAGCUUUUGAUUAAUCAUGCAGAGUCACAGAACUGAGGAACCUGUAAACCUAAGGACUCAUUUUUGGUUCUAAUAUUUUUUUCUAGAAAGAACGAUUUCAGCUUCUGGACUGCAUUUCUUGCUAUGACCAGCAGAGAUGAAAAAUAUCAAAAUACAAUUAAUAAGAACACCAUGUAUCAUGAGCAGAAAACCUGCGGAAAGAACAAAAGAACUGUCAAAUAUUCCAGAAUUGUAUGUAUAACAGAUGAAGAAUUGAAUUGAGCAAGAUAAUGUAAGGCGACAAGAAUUGCUCUUUUCUCCCUGCUCUUUAUUUUCCCUGUUCUGAACUGUCACUGAGUGAAUAAUUAGAAAAUGUUGAACUUCAUGGUAGCAAACAACAAUAAAAAGCAAUCAUUAAAGCA